AGAUGCUCCUCUGACUCCCAGCAUUAAUCUUCCCUCUGACCUGAAGGAGCAUCAGUCUGUCACUGUAACCUGCUCAGUUUUCACUCCCUGUCUAAACUCACCUCCUGAACUCACCUGGAAUCUCCAACAAGACUCUGUUGGGAAAACAGAGGAAAACACAGAUGGAACUUUUACAACUAAAAUCCAGGAGAACAUCACUCUGUCAGACACACAUGAUGGAUACAACAUCACAUGUUCUUCCGGACAUCCUGCGGCUGACAAAAGCAACAUAGCAGAGACAAAAGUGACUCUCAGUGUUUCAUAUGCUCCUAGAAACACCUCAGCAUCCAUCAGUCCAUCAGGUUUGGUGUCAVCAGGUAGCUGGGUGGAGCUGAGCUGCUCCGGCAGAGCCAAACCUCCACUCAGAUUCACCUGGUUCAGGAAGAGUGAACAAGGAGCCACUAAUGUAUUUGAUGGGCAGGUUUACAGCUUCAAUGCUACUGAGCCAGGAGACUAUUACUGUGAGGCUACAAAUGAGCUUGGUACUGAUAAAUCAAAAAGCAUCUGUCUUGA